UCCCUCUUAGCUCAGUUGGUAGAGCGCGUCACUAGUACUGCCUCCGAGAGUGCACACUAUAUAUGACGAGGUCAGUCGUUCAAGUCGGCUAGAGGGAA